ensembl:lncRNA
GUUCUUUUUAUUUUCCUACUUAAAACCCACACUGUAAACUUAGCCAAAGCCAGGAGGACUGUUACGUAAAGCAACAAAAACCCAACAACUAAACCUUUAAGUUUCUAUUUCAGGACAUAAACUGCACACGUUUCACCAGCAGCACCCCAGCAGGGAACAGCCGCAGCUCCCCAGCAGCAUCUCUGCAUCCUGGCAGCAGCCACAGCAGCAAACAGAGCAAAGAUAGGAGUGUCCCUGGUAAUUAAAAGAACUAAAACUCUGCCCCUUCUUGUUCCUUUUCCCUCCAAUACAUCACCUCUCUGCACAAAGACAUUUAAUUCUUUCAGAACUUCACAAAGGUUUUUGCUCACUUAAGUCACCUCAGUCAAGGAUAUUUACUGUUGUUAACCUCUUUGCUUGCAUAUAUGAUAUUGUUGGUAUGCGAAAGCUGUUAGACUCAUUAGGAAAGCAUCUACACCAGUGAUAUAUAAUUACAAUUCCUCAGGCUCAAGCCAGAUGCUCCAGACUGUCACGAAAACACUAACGUGUGCUGUUUCUAGUCACUGUUCUCUUUUAAGGUGAAAGCAAUGAGAAGUAGAUCACUCAACAUCACAUUUGGAAGAUAGCGUGCGUUAGGUGUGGAGUCCCAGCUGAUCUUCCUCUUCUGACCCAUUACAAACUUCUCCUUUCUUCUCUACCUCCUCCUGGUCCCAUCAAGCACUUCCCAUUUGCUGUGAGCUCCUGCUCUGGCUGCUCAGCUUGCUCCAUCUACAUGGCAGCAACUGAGACCACCUCACUGCACUGCCUCUCAGGCAAUGCUAGUCACCUUCCCAAACCUGCUCACCAGCUUUUGUACCACAAUAGGAACUUUCUACCUAGCGCUCUCUGCUACUGCAAUCAGACAACAUCUGUAUUUUCCUCUUUUUUCCACACUCCUUGUAGUGUUCAUGUUCUUGUCCAAACCACCUACUUAAGUGGAAUUUUUCAGUUCUUCCCCAGCUCCCCACUGCUCUGUACUUUCUUUGCAGGCACUUCCCAUUCCUUCCCCAUUAAUUCACUUCAAAGCCUUUUUCCUUGCAACAUUCACUAUAAAAUCCCACUGAUAGCAACCAUCUCUGGCAAAGGAAGGGUGGGCUGGAUCUGCACAGGACUCCUCACACCCUAAAACCAGCUUCUCCAUUUUGAGCGGUAGGUUGGUCACUGGGUUGACUGGUGCAGACCACUGAACAGGAAUGUCAAACUGGAAAGUACUGGUCUUGAACUAGAACUAAGGGGACAGCCUCUACAAAGGCCUCCCAUGUCUGUGCACUCAGAACUGAACAGAAAACACGCAGCUAAAACAAACACACACAUUACAAACAAAAAAAGACCAAACCCCUUACAUGCCCUAAUUUUGGUCUAGUGGCCUUAAUAUGUUGCUUCUCACUCAAGCAGGGAAUAUGUUUAAAAACCAGAACUGUAGAGGAAGGGAAAGAAGCUGUAAACCCAGGAGACCACAUGAAGGCACUGAGAAGCCAACAGUGCAUGCAUGCAGGUUGCUGAAAUGUAAAACUGAGCUUGUGGCAGAUGCGAUUAAUGCUUAAACAGAUUUCUGGUUCAAAUAAUCAUGAUUUAAUUUUUCAUAAUUCCUUUCC